UUGUAUUUCUUAUUUUACAUAAACUACCGUGUCCACUUUUUACUCCAACAAUUAAGGAUUCUACUUCCCUCACCAACAUCAAUUAUCAUCAUUCACGAAACCCUACACUAUUUCCCCCACCUUCUGUUCUCUGUUCGCGGCGGCUGUCCACAGGAAGGGGCACAUCGCUUCAAUCGACGGCACUGCUCUGUGCGGCGGAGAUGGGCGUGGUGUCGGUGGCGUUCGCCACCACGAUACGGGAGAGGUGGGGGUGGUUGUUCACAGAUGGCGGCGAGAUCCUGAAGUUUACGGUGGCAGCGCUGCCGUAGUGGGACUGUGCGAGAUCGGGAACUGCCCGCAGACGGCGGCAGGCCGGGUGCUGCGGCAGAGCGCAUUCUAAUGACGACAUCUUAUUGCGAGAUCUCCCCGUGAGGCAGAUGAAUGGCUGAUGCUGUUGGCCCCGAUCCACCACGUCCCUCUGCACCGCUUGCAUACUCUGCCAAUAGCACCCUGCAACUGGAUCGUCUUCGGUCGCCAAAAUCUGUUUCCAAAAUCGAAACUCACGUGGCGUGAGAUCGGAGAAUAGCACGACGGUGUGAGCGGCUGAUAUACGGUGCUGCGGUCGCAGGCCGUCGCUGCGCCGCCGUCCCCUUCCAUAUUUGGUGGCAUCAGCAUUAUUAUUUUCUUUUCGACAAAUUGAAUGAUCAUUAAAUCUGAAUAUAUCUGUUCAUUUAGAAAUUGUGUUUUGUUCAAUUAUAAAUUGUAUUAUGUUCAUUUAUAUAUUGUGUUAUGUUCAUUUAUGUUUUCGGCGAAUCACUUUUA